rnacentral:rRNA from 1 species
GACGAACGCUGGCGGCGUGCUUAACACAUGCAAGUCGAACGGAAAGGCCCUGCUUUUGUGGGGUGCUCGAGUGGCGAACGGGUGAGUAACACGUGAGUAACCUGCCCUUGACUUUGGGAUAACUUCAGGAAACUGGGGCUAAUACCGGAUAGGAGCUCCUGCUGCAUGGUGGGGGUUGGAAAGUUUCGGCGGUUGGGGAUGGACUCGCGGCUUAUCAGCUUGUUGGUGGGGUAGUGGCUUACCAAGGCUUUGACGGGUAGCCGGCCCGAGAGGGUGACCGGCGACAUGGGUACUGAGAUACGGCCCAGACUGCUACGGGAGGCAGCAGUGGGGAAUAUUGCACAAUGGGCGGAAGCCUGAUGCAGAAACGCCGCGUGCGGGAUGACGGCCUUCGGGUUGUAAACCGCUUUCGCCUGUGACGAAGCGUGAGUGACGGUAAUGGGUAAAGAAGCACCGGCUAACUACGUG